rnacentral:rRNA from 1 species
UACGAAGGGGGCUAGCGUUGUUCGGAAUUACUGGGCGUAAAGCGCACGUAGGCGGAUACUUAAGUCAGGGGUGAAAUCCCGGGGCUCAACCCCGGAACUGCCUUUGAUACUGGGUAUCUAGAGUAUGGUAGAGGUGAGUGGAAUUCCGAGUGUAGAGGUGAAAUUCGUAGAUAUUCGGAGGAACACCAGUGGCGAAGGCGGCUCACUGGACCAUUACUGACGCUGAGGUGCGAAAGCGUGGGGAGCAAACAGG